GAUGAAGAACGUAGCGAAAUGCGAUAAGUAAUGUGAAUUGCAGAAUUCAGUGAAUCAUCGAAUCUUUGAACGCACAUUGCGCCCGCCAGCAUUCUGGCGGGCAUGCCUGUUCGAGCGUCAUUUCAACCCUCGAGCCCCCCCGGGGGCCUCGGUGUUGGGGGACGCACACCAGCCGCCCCCGAAAUGCAGUGGCGACCCCGCCGCAGCCUCCCCUGCGUAGUAGCACACACCUCGCACCGGAGCGCGGAGGCGGUCACGCCGUAAAACGCCCAACUUUCUUAGAGUUGACCUCGGAUCAGGUAGGAAUACCCGCUGAACUUAAGCAUAUCAAUAAGCGGAGGA
rnacentral:misc_RNA from 1 species